GGUUGCGUGGCUUAAUGGAUAUAGCAUCUCACUACGGAUGAGAAGGUUCGGGGUUCGAAUCCCUGCGCGACCA
rnacentral:tRNA from 1 species